rnacentral:rRNA from 1 species
AUUGAACGCUGGCGGCAGGCCUAACACAUGCAAGUCGAGCGAGCGGCGGACGGGUGAGUAAUGUCUGGGAAACUGUCUGAUGGAGGGGGAUAACUACUGGAAACGGUAGCUAAUAACGCAUACCAUCAAACGUGCCUAGAAGGGACUAGUUAGUAGGUGGGGUAAUGGCCCACCGAGGCGACGAUCCCUAGCGGGUCUGAGAGGAUGACCAGCCACACUGGAACUGAGACACGGUCCAGACUCCUACGGGAGGCAGCAGUGGGGAAUAUGGGACAAUGGGCGAAAGCCUGAUGCAGCCAUGCCGCGUGUGUGAAGAAGGCCUUCGGGUUGUAAAGCACUGUCAGCGGGGAGGCGUUACCCGCAGAAGAAGCACCGGCUAACUCCGUGCCAGCAGCCGCGGUAAUAC